GUAGUUAGCCGUGGCUUCCUCCUUAGGUACCGUCAUUAUCGUCCCUAAAGACAGAGCUUUACAAUCCGAAGACCGUCAUCACUCACGCGGCGUUGCUGCAUCAGGGUUUCCCCCAUUGUGCAAUAUUCCCCACUGCUGCCUCCCGUAGGAGUCUGGGCCGUGUCUCAGUUCCAGUGUGGCCGAUCAGCCUCUCAGCUCGGCUACCCAUCGUCGACUUGGUGGGCCGUUACCCCGCCAACUAUCUAAUGGGACGCGAGCCCCUCCUUCUGCGGAUUGCUCCUUUGACCUCUCUCCGAUGCCGGAAUGUGGUCUUAUGCGGUAUUAGCAAUCGUUUCCGGUUGUUAUCCCCCUCAAAGGACAGGUUGCUCACGCGUUACUCACCCGUUCGCCACUAAGUAAAACCGAAAUCUUUACUCCGUUCGACUUGCAUGUGUUAAGCCUGUAGCUAGCGUUCAUCCUGAGCCAUAAUCAAACUCUGA
rnacentral:rRNA from 1 species